GGGGGUGAAAGGGACUCGACUCAAAACUUAGGCAAAAGGUUGCAUGCCGUAAGGGUAAACCCAUUGCGUUAAAGAGGUUUACAAAAAACAAAGGCAACACCUACAGUUGCAACUCUUACACCUGCAGUUGCACCUACAGCAGCUCCUAUUUUUGUUGGUACUCCGGCUAUGGCUGGAGUCAACUAAUAGGCCUGUAGGUUCAGCAGGACUAUUGUAAGGCUCUUUUACUUUAUGCCCCGGGAAGUAAAAGGGUUCGGUUACGGGGCUAGGAAUAGGCUUUUUGCUUUGAGGGUUUAUUCCGAAGUCCAUUCAAAGCUGCUUUCCGGAAAAUCCUGCCUUUUGGAGUUUCCGGAAAAAAGAAUAAAAAAAAGGCUAAGCAUGUAGUAGCUUUUUACCGAAACUUUGAGGACGCGGGUUCGAUUCCCGCCACCUCCACCA
rnacentral:tmRNA from 1 species